GCCCUCUGCCAGAGGCAGGCGCAGAGCCUGGCUGAGCUGUUUAGGUCUCAGGGGAUGGUGUGAGAGAGAGCUGUGUGCAGGAGACAUCAUGUAGCCGCCAUCGAAAGGUGCUGGACCUCUCUUCCACAGGGGACACUGCAGAGCUGUACACAGCAGAAUGGCCAUUUAGUGACACAAUCAGGAUUUGAAGUCAGCUCUGACACAAAUGUCUCUUCUUGGGAAAAGGCAGAGGAAGAGUAUGCGGGACCUCAGAGGCCAAGCUCAAACGUCCAGAUCUGACGUGGAAGAGUGUCCUGUGAUCUAGAACAAUGUCCAAAUCCUGCUUUCAGAGUCCCGCCAAGGUG